rnacentral:rRNA from 1 species
AGCGAACGCUGGCGGCAGGCCUAACACAUGCAAGUCGAACGGAUCCUUCGGGAUUAGUGGCGGACGGGUGAGUAACACGUGGGAACGUGCCUUUUGGUUCGGAAUAACUCAGGGAAACCUGUGCUAAUACCGGAUGUGCCCUUCGGGGAAAGGAUUUAUCGCCAUUAGAGCGGCCCGCGUCUGAUUAGCUAGUUGGUGGGGUAAAGGCCUACCAAGGCUACGAUCAGUAGCUGGUCUGAGAGGAUGAUCAGCCACACUGGGACUGAGACACGGCCCAGACUCCUACGGGAGGCAGCAGUGGGGAAUCUUGCGCAAUGGGCGAAAGCCUGACGCAGCCAUGCCGCGUGAAUGAUGAAGGUCUUAGGAUUGUAAAAUUCUUUCACCGGGGACGAUAAUGACGGUACCCGGAGAAGAAGCCCCGGCUAACUUCGUGCCAGCCGCCGCAGU